UACGUAGGGUGCAAGCGUUAAUCGGAAUUACUGGGCGUAAAGCGUGCGCAGGCGGUUCUAUAAGACAGAUGUGAAAUCCCCGGGCUCAACCUGGGAACUGCAUUUGUGACUGUAGAGCUGGAGUGCGGCAGAGGGGAUGGAAUUCCGCGUGUAGCAGUGAAAUGCGUAGAUAUGCGGAGGAACACCGAUGGCGAAGGCAAUCCCUGGGCCUGCACUGACGCUCAUGCACGAAGCGUGGGAGC
rnacentral:rRNA from 1 species